GUUAAGCGAUGCUUCAUACCCGACUGAACUUGAACUUGUGUUGUGCUUGAGGGCCUUGUGGGUGUCGUCGGGCUGCUUGGAGAGACUGGAGCGACAGGAGAAAAGGUAGGUAUUGCUCGUCUGUAGAGUUACAUGGGUGUAGCUGAAAUGUCCCCAACAGAGGCUAACUUUGCAUCGCUUCACCUUCAGGGAGACCGUGGUGAGACAGGCUUCCCUGGACCCCCUGGAGAAAAGGGAGCUAUGUAAACCCCACGGAAGUCCAUAUUUCACUACAGGGACACAGUUAAUACACCGAAAGAAGUACCUAGAGAAGCUACUUUUUUGGAUUUUUGCAGGGUCACCAAGGAAUAACGGGUGAACCUGGACCACCUGGACAUCCAGGAAAACCAGGAGCAGCUGGGUCAGUUGGACAUGUAGGCACCAGAGGACCCAAAGGCGAGCAGGGUCCACAGGGACUUGAAGGUCCAGCAGGAAAGCCAGGAUCAGGAGGGCCAAAGGGUUCUGAAGGUCCUCCAGGACAGCCGGGCCUCCCUGGGUUGCAGGUACGGGCAGGUGCACUGUAGUGUAUAGCACUUUAAGUCACCUUAAAAUGGACAUUUCUCUUCAAAAGAUACAUUUAAAUGAAACAGAAGUGGUCAGAGACUAUCAUUUAUGGCUCAUUGUAAGAAACAAAAAUACAAAUAGAUACAUGUGUUUGGAGCAAAUGAAAUGACUACUAACCAUUAAUUUGCCCCAGUGAAUCAGUUGU
rnacentral:lncRNA from 1 species